GAUGAACGCUGGCGGCGUGCCUAAUACAUGCAAGUCGAGCGAACGGACGAGAAGCUGGCUUCUCUGAUGUUAGCGGCGGACGGGUGAGUAACACGUGGAUAACCUACCUAUAAGACUGGGAUAACUUCGGGAAACCGGAGCUAAUACCGGAUGAUAUUUUGAACCGCAUGGUUCAAAAGUGAAAGACGGUCUUGCUGUCACUUAUAGAUGGAUCCGCGCUGCAUUAGCUAGUUGGUAAGGUAACGGCUUACCAAGGCAACGAUGCAUAGCCGACCUGAGAGGGUGAUCGGCCACACUGGAACUGAGACACGGUCCAGACUCCUACGGGAGGCAGCAGUAGGGAAUCUUCCGCAAUGGGCGAAAGCCUGACGGAGCAACGCCGCGUGAGUGAUGAAGGUCUUCGGAUCGUAAAACUCUGUUAUUAGGGAAGAACAUAUGUGUAAGUAACUGUGCACAUCUUGACGGUACCUAAUCAGAAAGCCACGGCUAACUACGUG
rnacentral:rRNA from 1 species